GUGGGGAAUAUUGCACAAUGGGGGAAACCCUGAUGCAGCGACGCCGCGUGGAGGAUGACGGCCUUCGGGUUGUAAACUCCUUUUGUCAGGGACAAUGGUGAUGGUACCUGACGAAUAAGCCACGGCUAACUCUGUGCCAGCAGCCGCGGUAAGACAGAGGUGGCGAGCGUUGUUCGGAAUUACUGGGCUUAAAGGGCGCGUAGGCGGUGGUGUAAGUCUGGGGUGGAAUGCUACAGCUCAACUGUAGAGCUGCCUUGGAAACUGCAUUACUUGAGUCGGUGAGGGGAAGGCGGAAUUCCUGGUGUAGCGGUGAAAUGCGUAGAUAUCAGGAGGAAGGUCUGUGGCGAAGGCGGCCUUCUGGCACUUGACUGACGCUGAGGCGCGAAAGCGUGGGGAGCAAACAGGAUUAGAUACCCUGGUAGUCC
rnacentral:rRNA from 1 species